CCUACGGGAGGCAGCAGUGGGGAAUAUUGGACAAUGGGGGCAACCCUGAUCCAGCCAUACCGCGUGUGUGAAGAAGGCCCUCGGGCUGUAAAGCACUUUCAGUGAGGAAGAACGCCUGGUGGUUAAUACCCAUCAGGAAAGACAUCACUCACAGAAGAAGCACCGGCUAACUCCGUGCCAGCAGCCGCGGUAAUACGGAGGGUGCGAGCGUUAAUCGGAAUUACUGGGCGUAAAGCGCGCGUAGGUGGCUUGAUAAGCCGGUUGUGAAAGCCCCGGGCUCAACCUGGGAACGGCAUCCGGAACUGUCAAGCUAGAGUGCAGGAGAGGAAGGUAGAAUUCCCGGUGUAGCGGUGAAAUGCGUAGAGAUCGGGAGGAAUACCAGUGGCGAAGGCGGCCUUCUGGACUGACACUGACACUGAGGUGCGAAAGCGUGGGUAGCAAACAGGAUUAGAUACCCUUGUAGUC
rnacentral:rRNA from 1 species